UCGGUUUAUCAAUGUCCUCUGAUGAUAAUAGAAGAUUGUGGACUUGCUGUGGAGGAGGCGCUACAACUGACUGUUCAGGGAGCAGCACUGGUGAAUGAGCUGACUGAGUGGGAACUCACUCAAUCCAGUGUGCUUGGAGACAACAGAGCUUUGCAACUGAGAUGUUAGCAACUUUCAUCACACAUUAGCCAGUACAGCAGUUGGUAACAUAGAGAAACAAAAUAGAGUAGUCAAUGAACAUGUAAGUUGAAGUUACACUUACUUCUUAGGUAGCUCCCCUGGUGCCAGGAUACCUUAAGAUAUGACACGUGUGUCGGAGUUCUGGGAAUUUCUUUCUGUUCACCUGUUUUACCUGCUACUAACCCCAUCCAACCUCUAGAUGGCACCAGACGCACGGUAGGAGCUGAGUCCACAGGUGUUUCUGCAUCAGCCUCAUCAGAAGAGGAGCUUAAGUACCCAAUGUUGCCAACACUCCGGCGCCUGAGUGUUAACCUGCAGUGGUUACCUCCAGUUCCGAGCUUCUUAUCCAGUCUGCGUAUGCAGAAGAUCCAGACUCUCUCUCCGCAAGAGAACUUCACGGAUUAUCUUCUCAGUUGGCUGCAUUCGGGUUUCAAGAUUCCUCAGGCUUCCUGUGAACGAACCUGGCUCACCCUCCACCGUGCACCCCUCCAAGAUCAUCCACCUGGUGCCACCUCCACCUCAAGUGCAAGUAAAACAGAAUUACCUGGACAUUUCACUUACCCGACACUCUCCCGGAGUCUUCCAUCAUCUUACUACUCCUCCCCCUGGAGGAUCUCCUAGUCGCCCUCUCGGCAAGUUCCUGUUUUUCCAGCAAACAAAAUACUUCUUAAUAAACUAGUUAAAACUUUUCCUGUUUUCCUGAGUGUAUUUCUGCAUGUGGGUCAAAGCAGCUAGAAAAACGAUGACUGAACACUCAGGCCAAUCUGACCCAGCAGAUACACUCAGGAGGACUCUUUCAGAUCAUAGCCUCCAGAUCCAGUCACAUGGAACCUCACUUCGAUUCCUCCUGGAACAACAACGCCACACAAACCAACAGAUUGAACAGAUGUCCUCUUUA